rnacentral:lncRNA from 1 species
GAAUACUCCAUUUGCUCCUUAAAAUAGACACCAUUAUCUGUUGAAUUGGCAGGAGUACAGUGAGAGAAAAAAUAAAUUUUAUCCAUGUUAUUGCUGCCUUUCACUGAUAUGUAGGUCAAAGUGUUCCAAAUAAAACAGAAGAAAACCCUGAGUUCCAGAGCAUUAGACAGAAUUCCCUUUUACAGGCAAAAAGUUGUGGGGGUCCCAAAGCCAUCUAGAUAGGGAGUGCAUUCUACCAGAUACAAAAAUGUGGCAUCUAUGGGGAAAAAAUUUUGGAAAAUAGCUUCUGUGCUCUAUCUAGGAUGUGCUCUUGGCUGGUUUUCUGUUAAUCUGUAUAACAUUCACUCAUUGGGCAAGCAGACAGCCAUGAAUUUUUGCCUUGUAAUGUUUGCAGACAUCCAAGUUGAGGGCAUCUGGAGAGAGGUUCCAUUCAGGAUGCUCAGAAGAAACAGCUCUGCACGCAGGAAGCUGGAGAUCCCAUUUUCUUCUGUUAAUGAGAACAAAGGCCUAUUUGUUUUCUGAAUUCCUUUAAUGAAGAACUUUUUUUCAAAGGAGCAUGGCAGUGGGUGCCACAAAUCAAAUGUGAGUAUGUAAAAAUGUGCAGAAAGCAGAACUGUGAGAAUCCUCUUCUCUCCUCUGCUCUCUCUCCUUCUUUCCUUACUCUUUCUUCUUCUACUUCUUCCUUCUUUUCUUCCUUCCUUCCUUCCUUUUUUUCCCUUUCUUUCUGCAUUCCUCCCUUCCUUUCUUACCAUAUUUACAUGUUAUUUAGUGCACAUGGUCCAGAACAACAUAUUUCCAAACAUUAGUAAAUUUACUCUUCUAACCCAUUUCUUGAUGAUUAACUAAUAUCAGAUCUUUCUUAAUUUUGAUGGGCAUUGGCCUCCAAGUCUGACAGUAAGUCAUAUAAUUUCUUUUUGUUAUUUUUGACUUUAUUUAUUUAUAAUUUGUAUGUGCAAAAACACAUAUAUAAGAAAAUUUGUCCCACAGUAAGACUUUUAUAUCACAGUAUGGGUGCUAACCUUUAGUAAUCAUGGAAAUAUGAGUAGCUAACACCUAAUGUUUUCUGUCCUUCAGAUAAUUGCUGCACGGUGACAGUGCUUUGCCUUUCACCAGAAGUUGUUCUGUGAAAGCUUAUUGUGAGAGAUUUUGUCAAAGGCUUGAAAGUUUGUAAAAAGUAUUCCAGUGACUUCUUUACCAUCUACUAUUUGACAUUUUUAAGGAAAUCUAAUGGAUUAGGAAUUAAAAUUUACUGACUAAACCAGUUCCACAUUUAUUUCUGACAUUUGAGUAAGCAGUUACCUUUUCAUUACUCGGGACUUCUUUUAAAAGAAGCAUAUGCAUAUAAAAGUUCAUCAGUUCACAACUCACACACUGUCUUUUUUUAUAGACAAAUGAUUCAAGGAACACUGAAGAUGUUUUGGAUCUUGUAAUUUUUUACCUUAAUUUAGAAUGCUCUAUGCCUAGUAAAUUAUGACUCUACUGAAGCCUUUUCUCUGUCAAAUUUUGUUGCAAUUGGCCAGUGCAUCAGAAAUUACAAGAAGAGAAUAAACAUUUCCAUAGUUCUCUACUACA